UACGUAGGGUGCGAGCGUUGUCCGGAAUUAUUGGGCGUAAAGAGCGUGUAGGCGGCCAGGUAGGUCUGCUGUGAAAACUCGAGGCUCAACCUCGAGACGUCGGCGGAAACCAUCUGGCUAGAGUCCGGAAGAGGAGAGUGGAAUUCCUGGUGUAGCGGUGAAAUGCGCAGAUAUCAGGAAGAACACCCGUGGCGAAGGCGGCUCUCUGGGACGGUACUGACGCUGAGACGCGAAAGCGUGGGGAGCGAACAGG
rnacentral:rRNA from 1 species